CCAGAAAAGCAUCUCCCUUACACUGAGAAGUCGUUCGUGCAAAUCGAAUCAUCCUGAGACCCAACAGCUAG
rnacentral:tRNA from 1 species